CCUACGGGUGGCAGCAGUGGGGAAUAUUGGGCAAUGGACGCAAGUCUGACCCAGCAACGCCGCGUGAAGGAAGAAGGCUUUCGGGUUGUAAACUUCUUUUAAGGGGGAAGAGGAGAAGACGGUACCCCUUGAAUAAGCCACGGCUAACUCCGUGCCAGCAGCCGCGGUAAUACGGAGGAUGCGAGCGUUAUCCGGAUUUAUUGGGUUUAAAGGGUGCGCAGGCGGAGGUGCAAGUCAGCGGUCAAAUUGCGGGGCUCAACCCCGUACUGCCGUUGAAACUGCAUCCCUUGAGUGCGCGAGAAGUAUGCGGAAUGCGUGGUGUAGCGGUGAAAUGCAUAGAUAUCACGCAGAACUCCGAUUGCGAAGGCAGCAUACCGGCGCGCAACUGACGCUCAUGCACGAAAGCGUGGGUAUCGAACAGGAUUAGAUACCCUAGUAGUC
rnacentral:rRNA from 1 species